rnacentral:rRNA from 1 species
CCUGGAUUAUAAAUUAAAGGUUACGGUGUAAGAUGAGUAUGCGUUCUAUUAGCUAGAUGGUAAGGUAACGGCUUACCAUGGCAACGAUAGAUAGGGGUCCUGAGAGGGAGAUCCCCCACACUGGUACUGAGACACGGACCAGACUCCUACGGGAGGCAGCAGUGAGGAAUAUUGGACAAUGGAGGCAACUCUGAUCCAGCCAUGCCGCGUGUAGGAUGACUGCCCUAUGGGUUGUAAACUACUUUUAUAUAGGAAGAAACCAUGCUACGCGUAGCAUAUUGACGGUACUAUAAGAAUAAGGAUCGGCUAACUCCGUGCCAGCAGCCGCGGUAAUACGGAGGAUCCAAGCGUUAUCCGGAAUCAUUGGGUUUAAAGGGUCCGUAGGCGGCUUUAUAAGUCAGUGGUGAAAGUCUGCAGCUUAACUGUAGAAUUGCCAUUGAUACUGUGGAGCUUGAAUCAUUAUGAAGUGGUUAGAAUAUGUAGUGUAGCGGUGAAAUGCAUAGAUAUUACAUAGAAUACCGAUUGCGAAGGCAGAUCACUAAUAAUGUAUUGACGCUGAUGGACGAAAGCGUGGGUAGCGAACAGGAUUAGAUACCCUGGUAGUCCACGCCGUAAACGAUGGUCACUAGCUGUUCGGAUUUCGNUCUGAGUGGCUAAGCGAAAGUGAUAAGUGACCCACCUGGGGAGUACGUUCGCAAGAAUGAAACUCAAAGGAAUUGACGGGGGCCCGCACAAGCGGUGGAGCAUGUGGUUUAAUUCGAUGAUACGCGAGGAACCUUACCAGGGCUUAAAUGUAGGUUGACAGGCUGAGAGAUCGGUUUUUCUUCGGACAACUUACAAGGUGCUGCAUGGUUGUCGUCAGCUCGUGCCGUGAGGUGUCAGGUUAAGUCCUAUAACGAGCGCAACCCCUGUUGUUAGUUGCCAGNGAGUAAUGUCGGGAACUCUAACAAGACUGCCGGUGCAAACCGCGAGGAAGGUGGGGAUGACGUCAAAUCAUCACGGCCCUUACGUCCUGGGCCACACACGUGCUACAAUGGUAUGGACAGAGAGCA